AUUAAUUUUUGGAUUUGUGGCGGUUUUGGUAAUUCUGGCGGUUUUGAACCGCCGUUGGCAUGUAGGUAUAAAAGAAGAGUCCCUAAAUUUCAGAAACCCUUAGUUGAAACCCUACGCGUGUGAUGUUGUUGCUCUUGGAUGGCCUAUGCGACAAUCUCCGAUCCUAUUCCGUUCUCCGACGAUCUUCUUCGGUGACAUCUCCUCCGGGAUCUCCUUCGGCGACAUCUCCUAAAGCUGCGAUAUCCUCCGGUGACGUCUCCUCCAGCUUCCUCUCCUUGUCGUCCUCUGUGUCUUCUCCGCCAAAAUCGUCAACGCCUAAUUCCUCUGCGACGAUCCAGGCCGUUUGCGAGGAUUCAUCGCGAGUGGAGAAGUCAGUUCCGCAGUUUGCACUGUUGACGACGUUCCUCCACAAUUUGUGUUCUGCCGCUCUCGCUGCGCCGCCGCCGCCACCGCCGUUUCUCCAUUCCUCUGCUUCAUGCCUUUGCCGCCGUCCCUCACUCUUCCAAAGGUUAUGUUAGGGAUUGUAUUUUCCAUUUCGGUUUUCAGCCAUGUGUAAUAUUAAAGUGUUAGGAUUCUUGAUGAAUAAUAACUUAAUGAAUAAUAAACUAAACUAGGUUGAUGAAUGUAAACUGUAAUUGCAUUAGUUUAGAAAUACAUUUGUAAUGUGCUGUUGCAUUAUUAAAAUCUAUCAUUGAAGACUAUUUUUGUAGACUUUAUCCUAUUUGUCAAAAUGAUUAGAUCUAGCUUUUCAAUGUUGAUGGCUUGUUUAUUUCUUCCUUUUCUUGUUUGUGUAUGAAGAUAUGAAGGUGGCCACCAUGCUUGUGGAUCCUGCUGGAUUGUCAAGCUUACUACCUCUGCCUUGAAAAUUAUGGUGCUUCAAAGGGGGCUAAUUUGAAAAGCUCUUACUGAACCUGGGGUUAAGCAUGCGUUGAUUGCAAUACAAGUGCUUCAGCAGGUGCAAGCAUUUGAAAUUGAAUUAAAAUGGAGUUUCUGUGGAGCUGACAAUUCUUCUACAUUGACUAUUAAUCAAGGAUUUCGCUAAGUUGCUUAAGAGAUUGGACUUUCCAGAAAUGAAGUUCAGCUUAUACUUAUGGGCUAUGAGCCUCCUUGCUGCUCUGCUGGUGAAGGAUCUUGUGUUUCAAAUGGAGCAUGCGAAGAUUGCACAACGGGAUAUCCUUAAAUGGUGCAACGGAAUUGUAGGUUUAGGUUUUUCUUUAAGAAUUGAGAUUCUUAGCACAAUGAGAGCAGUCCAAGGUUCACUAAUAGUAGCAUCAUGCAUACAAAUAAUUUUGGGAUUUAGUCAAAUAUGGGCCAUUUGUUCCAGGUUUUUCAGUCGACUUGGAAUGGUUCCAGUAAUUGCAUUAGUUGGUUUUGAACUAUUUGACAGAGGGUUCCUUGAGGUUGGGAGCUGGGUCGAAAUUUCCAUGCUAAUACUGUUUAUAGCCUUAUCUCAGGACAAGGGAAUAACAAGACAAAUCCCAUCCAAAACCAAAAGAAGCACAUGCAAUACGGAUAUGAAAGUGGGCUUGGGAAUUUUUGAGAGAGGUCUAUAAAAGAGAAGAGGCCCAAUAAUAAAAAAUAUAAUCUGCCAACUUAUCCUGCUAGCAUGUUUCUUAGUAAUGCUAAUGGAACAGUUUCGCAAUAGCAUCAAGGAAUUGGAUCAGGAGAGUGAGAUUCCAUCACCAGAAGAGUUAGGAAGUAGAUCUUCUGGAGCAAGCAACAAGGAAGCAUGACCUUGCUUGAUAUGUUAAGACGUAUAUUAAAGAUUAUAUGUUAAGACGUAUUAUUGAAAAAUGUUACUUUGAUAAUUUGUUUUUGGAUUAUGACAUUUCAAUUAUGACUUGGAUUAUGACUUUUGAAUCAUGUAAGAAUUAAUAAAAAUCAUCUUAUGAUGUUUGAUUUA